rnacentral:lncRNA from 1 species
AUGAUAUGCUUAUUCUUUCCCACAGAUAAUAAAACUUCACCCCACAAUGCUCACAAUGCUGCUAUGGUGCGCUGGUUAAAAGGUGUUCCAGUGGAUAAGAAAACCAUAGAAAUACUUGUUUUUCAUGAGUUCACCUUGGAUAGUCUCCUCUAUCUCGCUUGCAGAGAUGAUCUGCAGUACUGUGGCAUCAAAGGCGGGAUACUGUGUCGUUUGUGGGCUGCCAUCUCCAAGCAAAGGAAGGCUCUUCUCAGUCCAGUCAAAGAGGACAGUGAAGAUACCAUUCUCUAAAAGACAUGAAUGAUUCUCUCCUGACCAGUUUUUAGAUUCUAUGAGCUCAGUUGAGGAUCCAUUUACCACAGGGAAAUCCAUUUUUUUGGUGCAGUCAACCACUUUGAUGAUCAAGCAAGAACAUGAAGGGCUUAAUCACCCAAUUCAUCAUAAAGGAUAUGAGCUAAUCAGUGGGAUGGGCUUCUCUAGUCAUACAAUGAGCCAUACCUUGCGUUUUUCAGUAAAAGGCUGGAACUUUUAAAACUGCAAAUCAGAGCAAACAUCUGUACAAAAGUUGUGUAGUCCAGCCUUAACUGGAAAUUGUACAGAGUUUGAAAUAAUUUUGAACCCAAUUCAAAACUUUUGUUGUUGUUGUCUGUCAUAUUACUUUAAAGGUGCUGUAAUAUUGGAGAGGGGUUUUUUUUCACCUGGCCCCUCGCCUCAGACUUGAUGGACACGCAGGUUGCCAGAUUGAUGAAACAAACAGGAACGAGUGCACUUGAUGAUGAAUGAAACGAAAUACUCUGUGUUUUCCGCCAACUGGCAACCCGGGGUGCUGAGAUAAAAUUGGGUAAACUGGCAGUGGGUGGGUUUCAAAAACCAAAACAAAAAUCGACAUUCCGGCCAGGAACGCACAUUUUCAAAGGAGAAUAACUGACUGUAGUAUUGUUUUCAGAUAAACAAGUAUGUUAACUUGGCAUUUUUCUUAAAUAUCUGCAAACAUAUUAUGGUAUUUUUAUGCUUUAGUAGAGACAAAAUCUUACAAUACAGCACCUUUAAAUCCCAUUGACGUUUACAAUGCUAUUCCAAUUUAAGUUGGACUUUUAUUGAUUAUACAUCAAUUGCUUUUUAAUGACUUGGCAAGAGUAAUAACUAGCAGAGCAUAGCUUGCCCUUGAAAUCUGGUUGUAGUCCAGGGCUCUCCACGGCUAGUGGUGCUUUUCAGCAGGUGGAGCAGAUGUCACUCUGCUGGAUUUUGAGGUUAACUGAACAGGAUUUGCUUUUCAUAGCUAUAUAUUUCUUCUUCCUUCCUGUUCUUUUUUUUCUGGGUAUGUUAUUGAGCUCAUUCUGUACUUCUUUUACUGUCAAGACCUCUUUAUCUGUCUCCUUGUAAAGGCUGGUGCUGCAUGUGAUCCAUUAAAUAGGGAAUUCUGUACAGGGAUUAUGGCUUUCAGACCAACUUCAUUCUGUUAGUGGGAGGAUGAUCUUUUUUGUCAAUGAGAUUUUCUACCGUUUCAAAUAAAGCUUUCUUAUCUCUGCACUUCAGCCUCAAGUUUCCUGAAACUGCCCUGUGGUCUGCAUUAUGUGAAGAAAUGACAUUUGGUGAAUUGAUGAACUGUUAGAUGCUCAUAUAACAUGAAACUAUGAAUGAAA